UACGGAGGGGUAGCGUUGUUCGGAAUUACUGGCGUAAAGGACGCGACGUAGGCGGAUUGGAAAGUUGGGGGUGGAAAUCCCAGGGCUCAACCCCUGGAACUGCCUCCAAAACUCCCAGUCUGGAGUUCGAGAGAGGUGAGUGGAAUUCCGAGUGUAGAGGUGAAAUUCGUAGAUAUUCGGAGGAACACCAGUGGCGAAGGCGGCUCACUGGCUCGAUACUGACGCUGAGGUGCGAAAGUGUGGGGAGCAAACAGGAUUAGAUACCCGUGUAGU
rnacentral:rRNA from 1 species